rnacentral:rRNA from 1 species
AUUGAACGCUGGCGGCAUGCCUUACACAUGCAAGUCGAACGGCAGCACGGGUGCUUGCACCUGGUGGCGAGUGGCGAACGGGUGAGUAAUACAUCGGAACGUACCUUAUUGUGGGGGAUAACGCAGCGAAAGCUGUGCUAAUACCGCAUAAUCCCUAAGGGGGAAAGCGGGGGACCGUAAGGCCUCGCGCAAUUAGAGCGGCCGAUACCUGAUUAGCUAGUUGGUGAAGUAAAGGCUCACCAAGGCAACGAUCAGUAGCUGGUCUGAGAGGACGAUCAGCCACACUGGGACUGAGACACGGCCCAGACACCUACGGGAGGCGGCAGUGGGGAAUUUUGGACAAUGGGGGCAACCCUGAUCCAGCAAGGCCGCGUGAGUGAAGAAGGCCUUCGGGCUGUAAAGCUCUUUUGUCAGGGAAGAAACAGCAGCUCUAACACAGUAUGCGAAUGACGGUACCUGAAGAAUAAGCACCGGCUAACUACGUGCCAGCCGCCGCCGUAA